AUUGGACGCUGGCGGCAUGCUUUACACAUGCAAGUCGAACGGUAACAGGCCGCAAGGUGCUGACGAGUGGCGAACGGGUGAGUAAUGCAUCGGAACGUGCCCAGUCGUGGGGGAUAACGCAGCGAAAGCUGUGCUAAUACCGCAUACGAUCUGUGGAUGAAAGCGGGGGACCGAAAGGCCUCGCGCGAUUGGAGCGGCCGAUGUCAGAUUAGGUAGUUGGUGGGGUAAAGGCUCACCAAGCCAACGAUCUGUAGCUGGUCUGAGAGGACGACCAGCCACACUGGGACUGAGACACGGCCCAGACUCCUACGGGAGGCAGCAGUGGGGAAUUUUGGACAAUGGGCGCAAGCCUGAUCCAGCAAUGCCGCGUGCAGGAAGAAGGCCUUCGGGCUGUAAACUGCUUUUGUACGGAACGAAAAGGCUCUGGUUAAUACCUGGGGCUCAUGACGGUACCGUAAGAAUAAGCACCGGCUAACUACGUGCCAGCCGCCGCUGUAA
rnacentral:rRNA from 1 species